CAUUUCACCUUAUUUGCAAGAAACCCAUUAUAUGUGGACUAGGUUGGAAGGGCAAUUUUGUCCUCUCGGUUUUGAGUAAAUUUAGGGGUUGGCGUGUAGAGUUUCAUUUGCUGUCCUUCACUGAGGGUUUCGGGGGAUGGAAACUCUGACAGAGAGCGGAAGAAAUAGAGAGAGAGAUGCCGAUGGGAAGAGAGCGCAGGGGAGAGGUAUGGGUGAUGGACUUCAAAAGUGGGAAAGUGGGUUUUGUCUUCUCGGUUUUGACUGAAUUCGAGGGUUGGUGUGUACGUUUCGUUUGCUGUCCUUCAAUGAGGGUUUCGGGGGGAUGGAGACUCUGAUAGAGAGCGGAAGAAAGAGAGAGAGAGAGAGAGAGAGAGAGAUGACGAUGGCAAGAGAGCGAAGGGGAGAGGUAUGAGUGAUGGAUUUUGGAAGUGGGAGAGUGGGGAUGGUCAGAGAAAACCAUACGGGUCGUCCGGAUCUACCGCUGCAUGCCUGGAUUUCAAAAGAUAAGUGCUUUUUAAAAUUUUUUUUUUUUUACUAUCAGCUUAGAUUGUCAUCGUUUCUGCCUUUUUGUUGUGAAUUAUUUUCGAUUUUUUUAGUGUGUUAGGUCAGAUUUUGGGGGAAUCAUCAGAGAUAUUAAUUUCCCUUAUUUGUUUUCUUUUCUCUCAUUUUACACAUUCAUCUCUCUUUCUGCCUGUUUGUUCUCUGUCUUAAGGUCGGUUGUUUUUUUUUUUUUUUUUUGGGGUUUUUUGUGUGGCUUUUUUUUUUCUUUUUUUUUUUUUCCAGGUUAUAGAUCUAAUGCUCUUUUGUAUACCAAUCUUGGUUUUGUUUUUCUUGGAAAAUUGUUUUUAUCUAAUUGUGGAUUCGUGGGUUUUAAUUUCUAUGGUUUGUUUCAGGUUGCAAAGCAGGAGGUUCUCACAUGAGGAUUCAGUUUAAGAGAAAAAAAAAUGGUGAAAGAGAUCGAUCGAAAAGAACAACAAAUUCUAGGAAGGGUUUUGGUAAAAGAUUUAAGAAGAUUGGUAAAAGCUCGAAAAGAAGAACAACUUCGAGGGACAAAAUUGUUUUAUUCAGAGACUGCUCCAGAACCCAGCACAUCAAGAGCACAAAAAAUAGAAAAAACAAGAAUGAGUUUACGUGUUUAUGGAAAAGGUGUCAAUCGAAACAAGUUGGUCGUCCACACUAUGUAUUCACCUACAAGUCGUAGUAAUCCACCAAAAGAAAAUGUUCAAAAGAACUGUUUUGGGUUGUACAAUUGGAUUUGCAAGUUUAAACGUCCGAAGAAGAUUGGGAUGCUCCUUCUUUGGUUCAUCUCCACUGCAGUGGUUUUCUGGAUUUUAAAAAAUAUGUAGGGAUCAGCUGGAUUUUCAAUUCUGAAAAACGUUGUGUGAACCUUUUUUGUUGGCUGAUAAGUAUAACGAUGUAAACAAUGAAGUGGUUUUUUGCAUUGUGAAUAUGUAAGGAUGGUUGACGUAUAAGUGUAAUGAUGUAAACAAUGAACUCCCUUAUCGGUUUAAUAAUUAAGUGUUAUUACUACUCA